CCCUUCGGGGAGCCGUGAGACAGGUGCUGCAUGGCUGUCGUCAGCUCGUGUCGUGAGAUGUAGGGUUAAGCCCCGCAACGAGCGCAACCCUUGCCUUUAGUUGCCAGCAUUAAGUUGGGCACUCUAGAGGGACCGCCGAGGAUAACUCGGAGGAAGGUGGGGAUGACGUCAAAUCAUCAUGCCCCUUAUGCUUAGGGCUACACACGUGCUACAAUGGGUGGUACAGAGGGUUGCCAAGCCGCGAGGUGGAGCUAAUCCCUUAAAGCCAUUCUCAGUUCGGAUUGUAGGCUGAAACUCGCCUACAUGAAGCUGGAGUCACUAGUAAUCGCAGAUCAGAAUGCUGCGGUGAAUGCGUUCCCGGGCCUU
rnacentral:rRNA from 1 species